rnacentral:tRNA from 1 species
AGCGGGAUAGGGCAGUCAGGAGUGCCCGUCGGGCUCAUAACCCGGAGGUCGGAAGUUCAAAUCUUCCUCCCGCUA